GCACGGCAUUUCCGCUGUCGGAAAACGUCAUUUCCGGAGCGCCUGUCCCGGCUCUUCCCAAUUCCGGCCCAUCCGGGUACCGGCCCCAGAGCGGCGCGCUUCUCGUACCGGGCAGGCAGGUGUGUUUGGUGCGCUGAGCCCGGGAGAGUGACAGGCCAUGUCGCUGUCCCACUUGUACCGGGAUGGGGAAGGCCACAUGGAUGACGAUGAGGAUGAGCGGGAGAACUUUGAGAUCACCGACUGGGAUCUCCAGAAUGAAUUCAACCCUAACCGGCAGCGCCACUGGCAGACUAAAGAAGAGGCUACCUACGGAGUGUGGGCCGAGCGAGACUCGGAUGAAGAGCGGCCCAGCUUUGGAGGCAAACGGGCCCGCGACUACUCGGCGCCAGUCAACUUCAUCAGCGCGGGGCUCAAGAAAGGGGCAGCAGAGGAGGCAGAGUUGGAAGAUUCUGAUGAUGAAGAGAAGCCUGUCAAGCAGGAUGAAUUUCCUAAGGAUUUUGGACCAAAGAAGUUAAAAACGGGUGGCAAUUUUAAACCCAGCCAGAAAGGUUUUGCAGGAGGAACUAAGUCUUUCAUGGAUUUUGGCAGCUGGGAAAGACACACAAAAGGAAUUGGACAGAAGCUUCUUCAGAAGAUGGGCUACGUCCCUGGAAGGGGCCUGGGGAAGAACGCACAAGGCAUCAUUAACCCAAUCGAAGCCAAGCAGAGAAAGGGGAAAGGCGCGGUGGGGGCGUAUGGCUCGGAGCGCACGACUCAGUCCCUGCAGGACUUCCCCGUGGUUGACUCGGAAGAAGAAGCUGAAGAGGAAUUUCAGAAGGAGCUGAGUCAGUGGAGGAAGGACCCCAGCGGAAGCAAGAAGAAGCCCAAGUACUCUUACAAGACAGUGGAGGAGCUGAAGGCCAAGGGCAGAAUUAGCAAGAAGCUCACCGCUCCCCAGAAGGAACUUUCUCAGGUCAAGGUCAUAGACAUGACGGGCCGGGAGCAGAAGGUCUACUACAGCUACAGCCAGAUCAGCCACAAGCACAACAUCCCCGACGACGGGCUCCCGCCGCAGUCGCAGCCGCUGCCCCAGCCCGGCAAAGACGCCAAGGCCCCCGGCUUCGCGCUGCCCGAGCUGGAGCACAACCUGCAGCUGCUCAUCGACCUCACGGAGCAGGAGAUCAUCCAGAACGACCGGCAGCUGCAGUACGAGCGGGACAUGGUGGUCAACCUGUCCCACGAGCUGGAGAAGAUGUCGGAGGUGCUGGAGCACGAGGAGCGGGUCAUCUCCAACCUGAGCAGGGUCCUGGAGAUGGUGGAGGAGUGCGAGCGGCGCCUGCAGCCCAACUGCAGCAACCCCCUGACCCUGGACGAGUGCGCCCGCGUCUUCGAGACGCUGCAGGACAAGUACUACGAGGAGUACAGGAUGUCCGACCGCGUGGACCUGGCCGUGGCCAUCGUCUACCCGCUCAUGAAGGAGUACUUCAAGGAGUGGGACCCCCUCAAGGACUGUACUUACGGCACUGAGAUCAUCUCCAAGUGGAAGAGCCUCCUGGAGAACGACCAGCUCCUGUCGCACGGCGGGCAGGACCUCUCCACAGACGCCUUUCACAGGCUGAUAUGGGAAGUCUGGAUGCCUUUUGUCCGAAGUAUCGUCACUCAGUGGCAGCCGAGGAACUGUGACCCGAUGGUGGACUUCUUGGAUAGCUGGGUGCACAUUAUUCCCGUGUGGAUCUUAGACAAUAUAUUGGACCAGCUCAUCUUCCCCAAGCUGCAGAAGGAGGUGGAGAACUGGAACCCGCUGACAGACACCGUUCCCAUCCACUCCUGGAUCCACCCGUGGCUCCCGCUCAUGCAAGCGCGCCUGGAGCCGCUGUACUCCCCCAUCCGCAGCAAGCUGUCCAGCGCCCUGCAGAAGUGGCAUCCCAGCGACUCCUCAGCCAAGCUCAUCCUCCAGCCCUGGAAAGACGUCUUCACCCCUGGCUCCUGGGAAGCAUUCAUGGUCAAGAACAUAGUGCCCAAGCUGGGGAUGUGCCUUGGGGAGCUAGUCAUCAACCCCCACCAGCAGCACAUGGAUGCCUUUUAUUGGGUUAUCGACUGGGAAGGGAUGAUCUCUGUCUCCAGCCUGGUGGGGCUUCUGGAAAAGCACUUCUUCCCCAAGUGGCUUCAGGUGCUGUGCUCCUGGCUCAGUAACAGCCCGAAUUACGAGGAGAUCACCAAGUGGUACUUGGGUUGGAAGUCCAUGUUUUCAGACCAAGUGCUGGCACACCCAUCAGUCAAGGACAAAUUUAAUGAAGCACUUGACAUCAUGAACAGGGCCGUGUCCUCCAAUGUUGGUGAGUAGGGAUUCCAUUUUGGAAGUCCUGGCCCAGAGCUCUGUAUUUACACACACACAACACAGAAUGAGAGUUUUCAGCUACCUGGGGGCUGCCUGAGAAGCCCACCCUCCCACGCUGGGAGGGGCUCAGGCUGGGUUCACGCGUGUGCGUUUACCUCCGCGUCCCCCCUUCAUAACCGCUGUGCGGCGUGGCGCUCGGGCGUCUGCUCAGCCUGUGUUGGGGGGGCUGCUCAAGUAAACAGCUCAGGCCGUGAAGUCAGGCAGACAGUCUAACUCUUAGUGGUAGUUGCUUAACCUCUCAGCCCAUUUACCUGUUUACCUGUCAAAUGGUAUCCACUUCUAGGUUUUAUUAAGAACCGAGGACUGUUACUGUUUGUGGACAGCACCCCUAGGUAGUGUCUCUGGUGUGUCAGCUGUUCAAUUACUGUCUGUUCCUAAAGCUGUUCAGUUCUAGGGAAGUCACUCGGGCUCCAUCAGGAGUUUGGGAGCUGACUCACGUCUCAACACAGAGGCCACUGGAGCAUAAGCUCACACAGCUACAGAGAGGCCGGGACUAUGAUUUCUAUCUCCUGAGCCUUUAGCUCUCUGUCCUUAGCCUACUGCAUGGAGCGGAGUUACCCAGAGUCUGUGCUCUGCUCGCCCAGGUCCCUCCAGGCCAUCCCUGUUUUCAUACUCUAGACGUUCCUCAUCAGCCCCUAGGCUCCCAGAACUGCUCCUUAUCUGUACGUACCCCCCAGCUAACCCUGGGCCUUUGCAGUCCUGUAUUACCCUUCAACGUAUGUGUCUCAGCUCCCCAGAUACAUUUACAAUUUUUCCAGGGUGGCGGACCUGUGUGGGUAAGUUAAAAGCAUCACUAGUACAAGACAUAUGUUUUCAAGGUUCUAAAAGCUGCUUUUUUUCCCUUAACAGAGGCACUGGGAAUGGAACCCAGGACCUCAUGUACACCAAGCUUACACUUUACCACUGAGCUAUAUAACCCCCAGCCCCUAAAAGCUGUUUUUUUGAAAGGGUAGGGGUAAGAACUCAACC